UACGGGGGGGGCAAGCGUUGUUCGGAAUUACUGGGCGUAAAGGGCUCGUAGGCGGCCAACUAAGUCGGAUGUGAAAUCCCCAGGCUUAACCUGGGAACUGCAUCCGAUACUGGAUGGCUUGAAUCCGGGAGAGGGAUGCAGAAUUCCAGGUGUAGCGGUGAAAUGCGUAGAUAUCGUAAGGAAGACCAGUGGCGAAGGCGGGUCUCUGGACAGUUCCUGACGCUGAGGCACGAAGGUCAGGGGAGCAAACGGG
rnacentral:rRNA from 1 species